AUAAUCGUAUCCGCAUUGUAGAGAGACUCUCUUUGCAUCAAGUAGGAAUCGUUAGUAAUCAUACGUAUAUUGCAGUAUGGUGAAUAAAUCUGUCUAGGCUACUAAUAGCUCGUCACUCUACAAGAAGAAAUCUUCUACGUAGAUCAAUAUAUUGCCAUAUCUCCUUAGGUGUAUUGAUUUACUUAGAUAAUAUCUAAUUGUAGAGAAGUCGAAACAUGGUAACCCUACAAGAAUGUGGGGUUGAGUAUGAUCAUAU
rnacentral:ncRNA from 1 species